rnacentral:lncRNA from 1 species
UGAAGUACCACAAUGGCCCUCUCCUCUCCGGCAAGAUCUCCGUCAACCUCAUCUGGUACGGCCGCUUCCAGCCCUCCCAGCGCACCAUCGUCUCCGACUUCGUCACCUCCCUCUCCUCCGACCCUUCUUUGGCUCACGCCCCUCCUUCCGUCUCCCAGUGGUGGAAGACGGUCGAUAAGUAUUACCACCUCUCGUCCUCCAAGAGGCCCACGCCUUCACUCACGCUCUCGCUCGGGAGGCAAGUCCUCGACGAGAGCUACUCCCUCGGGAAGUCCCUCACGAGCAAGCACCUCGUCGAGCUCGCGUCCCGGGGCGAGCAGCAGAACGCCGUCAACGUCGUGCUCACCUCCUCCGACGUGGCCGUCGAGGGAUUCUGCAUGAGCCGGUGCGGCUCCCACGACUCCGCCAUCGGUUCCGUCAAGGUCAACGGCAAGAGCUCCAGGUUCCCUUACAUUUGGGUGGGCAACUCGGAGACGCAGUGCCCGGGGCAGUGCGCGUGGCCGUUCCACCAGCCCCAGUACGGCCCACAGAGCCCGCCGCUGGUGGCGCCCAACGGGGACGUCGGCGUCGACGGGAUGGUGAUCAACCUGGCAGGCCUCCUCGCCGGGACCGCCACGAACCCGUUCUCAAACGGGUACUACCAGAGCGAGGCGGGGGCGUCGCUGGAGGCGGCGUCGGCGUGCACCGGGAUCUACGGCAAUGGGGCGUACCCAGGCUACGCCGGGAACUUGCUGGUGGAUGAGGCGACGAGGGCGAGCUACAACGCGCACGGCGUGAACGGGAGAAAGUACCUGGUCCCGGCUCUCUACGAUCCGUCCACGUCGUCCUGCUCGACGCUGGUGUGAGGGAAGUGGAGACAGAUUGAAACGAUGACGUUUAGGCUACCAGAUUGAUUAAUUCAUUCGUUUAUUGGUUUUUUCGUUGCUGUAUAUUACUGUAAUUAUAGUUAAUAGAAAAGGCAAACCACUUUUAUUUGCUACAAUUUGCUCUGGUGCAAAGCAAGCGGGCUAAUCCAUUCCUAAUUCGACGAUUUUAGCUCUUCAAUCGCGCUAAUCGAUCAAUCACGCGGGCUCAUAACACCUUUGCUGGAGAAGAAAAAUUUGCGUUGCGAAUGUAUGCUCCAACGGAGGAGCUUAAGUCGAGGACGUGAGAGAAAUCCAUUUCUUAUACAGGUCUAGUCAUUGGUUAUGGCAAAAGGGACUCGGGAUGAGAAUUCUGACUUUUCUCAAUGAAAAUGCCGUAUAUAAGACAAUAAUCCCAAAUGAUUAUCACUUUGUGCUUUGUACAAAUUAUUGCUUUUAGGUUCCCAGCGAUAGUUAGAUUGUAACAAAUGUUAUGGAAGUUGGUUCCUCAUGAAAUAGGAUAGAUUGGGCCAUAUAUGAUUUUGAGGAAAGAGAGCGAUUGCUGAGUUUGGACGAAGUGUGACGCUCCUUAUGACUUCUAUGGAGGCAAAGGUCACUCGUCUAGUAGGACCGUAUUGCAGGGAGAUAUGGGCAAUCAUGUCGUGUAUGUUAAUUCUUUAAGUCAGAGCUGCCAUCGCUUGUAUCUGUCGAGAUCACCAAGGCUUUGUGGUGGACGGAUUUGCGAAGCCAGUCGAUGCGGCUUCGGCUUCUCAAGCAAAGGCGAUCGCAAUGGACGAAACCCUAAAGUUCAUCGAAAGCCGACGCUUUCUCUCUCCUCAAGUACACUCUCACUAUUUAUCUCUGGUGCACGCGUUAAAGUCUUCGACUGAACUCAACUGGGAACUGCAACCGAUUGUGAGCCGGGCCCAAGCUAAACUCGCCCAACUCCCGGGCCUCUCCCUAGCCCACUACAACCGUAGCUCAAAUUGCCCCACGGACUGGAUAGCCAAGGCUUGUCGGAACAACUCCUUACCCCCGAACUGGAUAUCAUAUCCCCCUGCUUUAUUUGAUCUUUUAUGCACUGAUGUUAUGGGUGUUAUCUUCCCACAUAUGAAAUAGUAAAUAAAGUGAUGAUGUUUGAUGAUAAAAAAAAAAGGUCAGAGAAAUUAUAAUAUUCUAAAAUCUCACAUCAUAUAUAACCAAUCUUUUAAAUGACUCAUCAAUUAAUAUUCAUAUUGAAAACGACCACCUCCUUAUUUGACUUCUCCAAGUAUUCCUUUUGGGAGAUUUUAGAUGUGAAUUGAGUCAAUUGUUACAAAUGUGGCUUGGCAACAACAAAUUUCUUAUUUUCAAAUAAAUUAACUACACUCGAGGUGGGAGCUUUUGUCAUACCAUAGGUUAAGCAUUUAGUCACUUAUAGUAAUUACUGGAUGAAGCCCGUUGUUACAUCAUACUGCUUUAGUUCAUCGUUGAUCUCUUGGUAAAGACAAACCUUAAUAAUGUUUACAAUUAAUAGGAAAAUUCGUGUUGAUUGAAGAUAGAUAUUGAAGUUGGAUAUUAUAUACACAACAUGCUCAAGAGAGCACCAACAUAAGAUGUGACACGCCAUUCUCUACAAUAAGCUCAACCGCCACCACCAAUUGGUAGGGAAAAUUGUCAAAAAAAAAGUCCAAAACCUAUUACUUUUAUAUCAGUUCCGUUUGACAUUUCAAUUAUGUCAAUUUAGUUCUAAGCUAUUUUGAUGAUUUAUCAAUGUAGUCAUUUUAGAUAAUUUUGAUCGAAAAAUACUGACAUGGUGAUUCAAUCGGCACCAAUCAUCCUACGUGACAGGAUCCGCGAUAUGACUAGAGCAAAUUCAAUUGAAAUGAUGUCAUUUUGCAUUUUAUAUUUAUUUUUUGCUUUUGCUUUUGUGUUUGCUGUUCAUCAUCUUCCAUCCUCUUCUUUCUCUAAGAAAAGUUUCGUUUCUCGACCAAGUCAAGACUCAAUCUUGGAUCCGGCUGCAUCGAACCAGAAAAUGCAGACUUCUUGCUAGCAGAUAUGCUAGAGAGUGCUUUUGCGUCAGAUUGUCUUGCAUACAAUUUUUGCGCUUCAACUUGAAAGCGACGAACUUGAACGUGAGUUGAUUUACUCAUGCGUUAGUUAUAGAUCAUAAUACCGAAAUCGUUUUUAAAGACUUACAAUUCAACUCCAUGUCGCGACGGAGCAAGAGCCCUCCAGAUCUAGGGCUCAAGGUCGAUGUGUGGCGGAGCUCACGAUCUUCCAGCUAGGUUGAGAUCUUGAAGACGCCCGGCUUGACGGCAUUUUCAAACAAUGAUGGAGGAUAGAGUAAGAAGAAGAGCGGUUCGCUUUUUUGCUUCCACAUUCAACAAAGAUGGAGAACAAUGAAAGAAGCAGAUGAAGAGUAAUCUAGGAAAAUAAAAAUCAAAAAUCAAAAUUUAAAAACUUGCAAAAUUUAUAGACGUUGACAUCGAUUAUGUUACAUAUGACAACCGUCGUCUAAAAUUAGUUCAAAUGUCUAUAUUGACAAAUUAUUUAAAAAUUUAUGACUAAAUUGUCAUUAUUGAAUAGUUUAAAUUUGGUAUAAGUGUAAUAAAUUGAGUAUUUUUUGAGUAAUUAUUCCUGAACCAACACAUCCUCUUCUUGUGACCCAAAAGAAGGGCAUCGAUUGGUUUUCCUUUGUUAUGUCAGUCAAAAUAGGAGUCAUUUUUUCCUCUUGGUUGUCCAAUGCCAUGUAAUGAAAUGCAUAAUUGCUGGAUUGAGAGCUUCGGCUUUGUGACAACGAUAACAAUUUGUUCAGAGCAAACGCGUCAAAUCACUCUGGCAUCUCUUAUCUUCACAACUCUCUCCUUGCUACCAUCCUCUCACCUUCCCCCUUUUCUUCAUCGUCAUCAAUCAAAUCCAACUUCAUCUCUCUCCCUCAGCCACAUCCUAGGGGCUCUAAUCGAACUUCUCUUUCCGAUUCCCACCCAUUAGAUUGAUCAGGCUUGUGUGUUCUAUCUUGGGUGAUCUUCUUAACGAGGCAUAUACAUUUUUAAUUUUGUAUAGAAAUAUUCAUUAUGGAUCCUUUUGUGAUCCAUUGCCUUGAAUUGCCUGACUGAAGAGCUAUUUCAUGAAAAGUGAAAUCAAGUGAAAACUUAAUUGGAUUUUGAUUCAAGAAAAUGAUAUAAGUUGACUUUGGUGAGGAAUCAUGUUUUGAUUUUGACAAUUGAGCAUAACAAAAUAUCAAUUUAAUCAUGGAUCGAGUUAAACACUUUAUUAAGCUCAAAAUCUCAAAGUUUCUUGGUGUAAUUCGAGCCGAUUGGAACAAAGUUACUUCCGAAAAUUUCCUUGAGUUCAACCAUCUAACAUUUUUAUUUGCAAAAGAAAAACCUAUGCUUUCUUUGUCUAUUUGCCCAAGCCUACCGAUGCCAAGCCACCAAAGCCUUUAGCCAACAACCAACAUCCAGUCUCUAACCAUCACCACCUAAAAAACUCGGGCGUGCAUUGAAAUCCUAUAAGUCCACUCGAUCUCAUCCAUUGAAAGCCGUGGAUCCCAUGUAGGUGAAGCCUAGGAUCAAGUUGCCUCAUGUGGAUUCUGGCAUGCUUUGCUAUCCACCACUUCCAUGCGCAUGCCUUUGCUCCAAGAGCAUUUCCACCCACCAAUGCGCCUCUCCUGACCUUGGUUUUUUUGUUGUUUUGGCUGUACGUGCUCAGUUUUGAAUUGUACGGAUAGUGUGUCAUUUGUUAACGCAAGAGUUCAGUGAUUUUAGAACAAACCCAGGAUUUCCCUCUCACUCUACUCAUCCCAUAUGCAUAUCGUCGGUCAACCAAGGCCACUAUUCUUGACAAAAAAAAAAAAAAAAAGGCCACUAUUGAUUAGGAAAGGAAGAAAACGAGACCACCACGUACCGCAACACCCACGUGUGGCCCACCCAUGGGCCAAUACCAUCGGCUACCUAAUAAAAAGCUGUCCUAAAAGCGUAACUGAAAUAAUGAUUGAACGCGCAAUCGAGCACUGGUGGCCUUUUGUCAAUCUUGCUGGUGAAGUAACAACUGGGAAUUUCAAGACCAUCAUGAGCUGCGCUCCUUUUGUCUCUUUCUUGGCAGGUUCCGGCACUUUAACCCCACUUCUACGUUCCACCCUCAUAUUUAUUAUUAUAAUAUAUAGUCGUAAAAUAAAAAUUUCGAAGCAUCACCCUUAUCCCAUCCUUGUAUAAAUACUCCUUCCCCCUCCGCACAACCCACAACUUAAACAAAGCGAGAAGCUACCUCAGCUUUCACCUCUCCUCAGUCUCAGCCCAAAACUCAGCUACUACGAUGGCAUCGUUCUUCGCUUCUUCUAAAACAGCUCUUCCAAAGCUAUUCCUCGCCCUCUGCCUCCUCCAGAUAGCCUCCGCCACCAGGAGGCUGGCCGAGCUGGUCCAAGACCAGUCCCCGCCCAUGAAGUACCACAAUGGCCCUCUCCUCUCCGGCCAGAUCUCCGUCAACCUCAUCUGGUACGGCCGCUUCAAGCCCUUCCAGCGCACCAUCGUCUCCGACUUCGUCACCUCCCUCUCCUCCGACCCUUCUUUGGCUCAGGCCCCUCCAUCCGUCUCUCAGUGGUGGAAGACGGUCGACAAGUACUACCGCCUCUCCUCCUCCAAGAGGCGCACUCCUUCCCUCACGCUCUCGCUCGGGAGGCAAGUCCUCGACGAGAGCUACUCCCUCGGGAAGUCCCUCACGAGCAAGCACCUCGUGGAGCUCGCGUCCCGGGGCGAACAGCGGAACGCCAUCAACGUCGUGCUCACCUCCUCCGACGUGGCCGUCGAGGGAUUCUGCAUGAGCCGGUGCGGCUCCCACGACUCCGCCGUCGGUUCCGUCAAGGUCAACGGCAGGAGCUCGAGGUUCGCGUACAUCUGGGUGGGAAACUCGGAGACGCAGUGCCCGGGGCAGUGCGCUUGGCCGUUCCACCAGCCCCUGUACGGCCCGCAGAGCCCACCGCUGGUGGCACCCAACGGCGACGUCGGCGUCGACGGGAUGGUGAUCAACCUGGGAGGCCUCCUCGCCGGGACCGCCACGAACCCGUUCUCGAACGGGUACUACCAGGGCGAGGCGGGGGCGUCACUUGAGGCGGCGUACGCGUGCACGGGGAUCUACGGAAACGGGGCGUACCCCGGCUACGCUGGGAACUUGCUGGUGGAUAAGGCGACGGGGGCGAGCUACAACGCGCACGGCGUGAACGGGAGAAAAUACCUGGUCCCGGCUCUCUACGAUCCGUCCACUUCGUCCUGUUCGACGCUGGUGUGAGGGAAGUGGAGAGAGAUUGAAACGAUGACGUUUAAGCUACCGGACUGAUUCAUUUAUUCGUUUAUUGGUUUUUUUGUUGCUGUAUAUUACGGUCAUUAUAGUUAAUAGAAAAGGCAAGCCACUUUUAUUUGCUACAAUUUUAUUCUCUAGUGCAAAGCAAGCGGGUUAAUCCGUUCUUAAUCUGACGAUUUUAGCUCACUCCUUCAUUAAGUCAGAGAGUUUCUAAAGUCCCAAAAUCUCACAUCACUUAUAAAUAUCCAAUUAAACGACACAUUAAUUAACAUUAACAAUAAACUCCAGAAAGACCACUUUCUUGUAUGGCUAUUCCCAAUAUUCCUUUAGGACGAUUUUAGAUGUGAAUUGAGUCAUUCAUUACAAAUGUGGCUUAACAACAACAAACUUUCUUAUUUUCAUAUAUUAAUCUUAUACUUAACUUCACUUGAGGUUAGGGCUUGUAUUUGGCCUUGUUUGGCAAAAUAUAUUUAUGUUCCUCGGAACAAAAAAUUUAUGUUAUUUUGUUUCGGAGAACAAAAAAAGAAUAAAAACGUGUUUGGUAAAACUUUUGUUCUUGGGAACAAAAAAUCUACUCUUUUGUUCCCGGGAACAGAUUUGGAAUAGAAACAAGAAGUAGAAAAAAGUUGAUUUUUAUUCCCGAAAACAAUUUUGAAAAACACUUCUUUUUCCUUCUUCUUUUUUCUUUCCUUCUCCUUCCUUUUGGCCAGUCGCCAACCUUAAUCAUGGCCGACGACCGGCCAACAAGGGCUGACGACCUCGCUGGAGCGUCAUCGGCCCUCGGCGAGACUGAGCCUCGCCUUGGUUGGGCGAGCUCGAGCUCACCCAAUCGAGCUCGCCUAGCCAAGGCAAGACCGAGCCUUUUCGGGGGUCGGCAACACUUCGGCGAUGUUGCUGGCCCUCAUCAAUCGAUCGCCGACCAUGGUUGAGGUCGGUGACCGACCAAAAGGAAGAAAAAUUAAAAAAAUUAAAAAAAAAUUAAAAGAAACAAUUAAAUUAUACAAGUUUACUAAACGUAUUUCUAUUCCUUGAAUAUAAAUUUUUUGCAGUUAUCAAGCGCGUUCUUAUAUUCAGAAAUUGUUCUUGGAAACAAAAAUAGAAAAAAUUAUUUAUGUUAAAAAAUUAUUCCACUGAAUAGAAACAUUACCAAAUGUGCCCUUAGUUACUUACAUUAAUCAUGGAUGAAGCCCGUCGUUACAUCAUACUCCUUCAAUUCAUCGUUGAUCCACUAAUGAAAACAAUCGUUAAUAAUGUGCACAAUUCAUAAAUUCAUGCCGAUUAAUGAUAAAUAUCAAAGUUUGGACAUUAAUUACAUGAUAAAAUCACGAGUACUGCAUUGCUAACAAACAUAAAAUUUGGAUAAGCACUUAACUAUAGGAGUGAGCAUAGUUCGGGUUGGGCUAGUCCACCCCCUAACCCUAGGACUAACCCGUACAAUAUUGGUCCGAAAUUUUUUGUUUUAUUUUUUGUAUUCCUUGUAAAGGUAAACUUACCAUUUCAAAUUACAUGUCUAUCGAUAAUGCGACAUUAUACAACAGUGUCAUUACAUAUUCAAUGAAUUUAAGAUAAGACAAUAAUAGAAAUUUUUCACCUACUAAAAACAAUAAACCAUAAAAAUGAUUAAUACCGCUCAUAAAAAUAUGGAACAAAAUGGGAAGUUGAUUGGCGAGCAGGGAAGUUCAGUAGGGCGAGAGUUGAGCGGCGAGUGGGAAAGUUGUAUCUUUCAAUUUUGGCAAAUUGAAUAUUAAGAGGACAAAGAAGACAUAAGAGAACAAUUCCUUGAGGAGAACGCCAUGAGGAGCCGUUUAAUGUUGUUGACGUCAUUUGACUUAGGUUUUUCUAAAAAAAAAAAAAAAAAUAUAUAUAUAUAUAUAUAUAUAUUAUAAAUUAGACCGACCUUAAACUCCAAGAAUCAAUAAUCAAUCCAUACAGUGCUGAUUCAAGGGUCUUUGGACUAAGGACCGACUCAGCCCUCUUGGAAACCAGACCAAGACCAACAAAGUUGGGCCGGUCUAAGGUCGGUCCAAGUUAACCCUGGACUGAUGCUUACUCCUACUUAGUUAACAGAACUAUUUCUGACAAUUAGCUUCACCACCACCACCAACUAGCACGUCGUCUCCUCGGAACCCAAAAGGAAGGGUGCUAAGGGUGCGUUUGGUAACAUUUCUGUUUAAAAAUUGUUUUUGGGAAUAGAAAUAGAAAAAAAUAUUUCUGUUUCAGGAAACAAUUUUUGAACAAAAAAACGCGUUUGGUAAAUCUGUUCUAGAAAUAUAAAAAGAAUAAAAACAUGUUUGGUAAAUUUGUAUAAUUUUUUUUAUUUCUUUUAAAUUUUUAAUAUUUUUAUUUUCUUUCUUAUUUUUCUUAUCUAUUUUUCCUUUUUUUUUCUUUUUUCUUUUUUCUUCUUUUGCUCGGUCGCCGACCUCGGCCAUGGCCAACGACCAGUCGACGAGGGCCGGCAGCCUCGCCCAGCCACGGCGAGGCUCACCGGCCCCCGGUAAGGCCAAGCCUCGUUGUAGCUGGGCGAGGCUCGGCCUCGCCUUGGCUGGGCGAACUCGAUCUCGCCCAGAUCCAGCGAGGCCGAGCCUCACCAGCCGCUGGGCGAGCUCGGCCUCGCCAAAUAUGGGCGAGAUUGAGCUCGCCCAGCCCGGCGCUAGGUCGGCCUCGCCAGGGGCCGGUGACGCUCAACCUCGCCAGGGGCUGGCGACGCUCCGGCGAGGUCGCCGGCCCUCGACGGCCCUCGACAACCAAUCGCCAGCCAUGGCCGAGGCCGGCAACUGGCCAAAGAAAAAAGAGAGAAGAAAAUGAAAAAGAGAGAAAAAGUGUUCCUAAAUUUUGUUUCAGAAACAAGAAAUAACUUUUUUUUUGUUUCUUGUUUCCGUUCCAAAUGUGUUUCUGGGAACAAAAAAUAAUUUUGGAACAAAAACGCAGACAAACGCGUUUCUAUUCAUUUUUUGUUCCCAAGAACAAAAAAAUAAAAAUUUGCGUUCCUGAGAACCUAAACACAUUUUAACAAAGAGGCCCUAAUUGGUUGUCCUUGUCCUCUCAGUCAAAACAAGUCUUGUUUUUCCUUUAGCUUUCCACGGCCCUGUAAUGAAAUGCACAAUUGCCGGACCGAGAGCUUUGACUUUGUGCUAAUGAAAGCGCCUCGUUAACAAGCAAACACGUCAAAUCAUGUUGUCUCUCGUCUUUAGAUCACCGCUUUUGCCUCGUUACCAUCCUCUCACCAUCUCCAUUUCCUUCAUCGGUAUCAUUCAUAUCUAACUUCAUUUCUCUCACUCAACGACAUCCUAAUGGCUUCCAUCGACCCGUCUUUUUCUCACUCCCACCCAUUAGAUUGAUCAAACACAUGUGAUCCACCUUAGGUAAUAUUCUUAAGAGGUUAUCGUGGGUCCGUUUGAUAACGUUUUCAUUUCAGGAAAUAAUUUUCUUUUAGAAAUAAUCUUUUUCUAUUUCUAUUCUUUGAAAUAAUUUCUCAAUAAAAAAAUAUAUUUGGUAACUAUAAAAAAUUUCUAUUCCCGAAAUGAAAAAAGAAUAAGAAUGUGUUUGGUACGAUUCACAAAAAUUUUUAUAAUGUAGAAUUUUUUUUUUUUAAUUCUUCCUUACCACAGUCGACUGCUGACCUUAGUCCAUCGCCACCCAUUGCUGACCCCUGUGGCCAAUGAUCACUGACGACCCUGCUCGCUGCGGUUGACUAUCGAUCAGCCGGUGACGGCUAUUGAUCGGCCAAUCAAUGGGCGGUGGCGGUGGUGUUAGCGAUCAUCGUUGGUCGUCAGUGGCAAGCCACAGUGACAACGGUCAGCAAUGACGGCAACCAUAGCAGGCGGCAAAGGGGGGUGGUGGCCGUCAAAUAAGAAGAAAAAUGAGAAAAGAAAAAAAAAAGAAAAGAGAAAAUAACUUAUUUCUAGAAAUUGUUUCUGGGAACAAGAAGUUACUUUUUUCUACUUCUUAUUUAUAUUAUAAAUUUAUUCCCCGGCCACUUUUCUAUUUCAGGGAAUAAAAAAUUAUUGACGUUACCAAACAGAUCUUUAUUUUUAUUUUUUGUUCCAAGGAACAUAAUAAUGUAAAUUUGGAGAAAUAGAAUUGUUACCAAAUAGGGCUUAUAUAUGCAUGUUCGUUUGUAUUAAAAUAUUCAAUCUAUGGCCUUUGGCGAUUUAUUGCCUUGGAUUGUUAGAUUGAAGAUGGGAAUCAUGAAAAGAAAUGUUGGCCGAGAACUCAGUUGGAUCUUGGUUUAGGAAUAGGAUGUAGGUUGACCUUGAUGGGGAUCCUGUUUUGACUUCAACUAUUGAGCGAAACAAAUUGUAAAUUGGCUCAUCGAUCCAGUAAAACACUCUUUUGGGCUUGAAGUCUCAAAGUUUCAUUGUAUAAUUCAAGCCUACUUGAACACAAUUACUUCUAAGAGUUUCCUUGAGUUCAACCAACGAACAUUUUAACACUGUAAAGAAGAAGAAGAAGAAGAAGAAGAAGAAGAAGAAGAAGAAGAAGAAGAAGAAGAAGAAGUAUGCUCUCCCUAUCGGUUUGCCCAAGCCCACCGACGCCAUACCACCAACCUUCAACCAACACCCAAUAUCCUCUACCUCGAAAAACUCUCUAGUGCAUUCGAAUUAUAUAAGCCCACUCAAUCACAUUGUUUAAAAGAUGUGGGUGCGAUGUAGGUCACACCCAGGAUCAAGUGGCCUCGUCCCACCACUUGCACAAGGGGUGAGCAUGAUUCUAAAGUAUGACCUGGAAUUUGAGAACCAGAUCAAUAGAAAUCUGUUCAGUUCAGAUUUCAAGAUAUGCAUGAUAAGUUUCAGGUUUAAAAAAUUAGAGAACCUCUUUUGAGAGAUAGAUUCCAAGUUCUAGGUCGAUGGAAUUAGGAACUUGUACAUAAAACUUGGAAUUAGUUUUUGCAUUUUUCUUGAUCCAUGUCUUCAUUGAUCGUAGGGUGUUUCAUGGCAUUCGAUGAUAAAUGUAUAAUUUGAAAUCACUAAUGGAGCUUCCAUUUUAUGUCUAAAACUUUUAUUUUCUUAAUGUUUCAUAUUUUUCAUGUGUUUAAAUAUAAAUUGUUAUUAAUGAAUUGUAGUAAUAAGUAGUAGUCAUUAAAGUCACUACAAUCAUUCAAUUAAUAAUAUAGGUAGAGCUUGGAUAGAACUUAGAACCGAGCUUGGAACCUGUAACAAGAUAGGUAAUGUUCCAGCAUAUACCUACAGGUUCCAAGAAAUGAGGAACUUAUUCCGUAAAUAGCACUGACACCGACAUGUGGCACGCAACACAUGACGCAACAUGCUGAUACGUCGUUUCUAAAAAAAUAGAGAAUUUUAAUACAUUAUGACACAUUAUGCAUUAUACAUGAUAAAUUUUAUUUUUAUGAUUAUUUUAAUUGAAUUAAUUUGAUUCAAAUUCACAAAUAAAUAAAUAAUAAAAAGGAGCAAAGAGUAAAUUUACACUAAAAAUAUUAACCCGCGAUUUGUCAAUAUCAUUUAUUGUUUUAAUUUAACAUAUUCAACUUUUAAAAAUUGGAGAAAAAAAAAGCAAUUUAUAUUCUAAACUUGCGUGUUAGAGCAUGUCCAAAGAAAAGAGAAACAAAUAAACUUGGAGGAUAAAUUAUGUGUCACAGAAAGUGAAAGUUAGAAAAUAAAAGAGACUAGGUUUUUCUUCUUUUCCAUUUAUUAUUAUUUUAAAAAAAAAUUGAUCAUGUACGUAUCGAAAUUUCGAAUCGCAUGUCAGAAUUUCAAAUUAGCGUGUUGAAGAGUAUCAAAAAAGUUGACAAUGUAUUGGAUUUUUCAAUACUUGUUGAUUGAGUGUCGAACACAUGCUGGAGUGUUUAAUAUAACACGAAAGCUCUCGAAGAGUGUCAAUGCUUUCUAACACAUUUCAACACGUAUGUUUUAAAUUCAAGAUAGAACUUGUGUGAAAUCUAAAACUGUUUACCCUUAUACGUACUUUUGCUUUAAUACCAUUUCCACCCACUUGUGCGCCUCUUGUAACCUUUUCUCUCUCUCUCUCUCUCUCUAUAUGUCUCUAUUUUAAAUUAUAUGGAUGAUAUGUCUUAUGUUAGUGCUAAAGUUAAGAUGAUUUUAAAACAAAUUUAAACUUUCGGUCACACAAUUCAAUUCCCACGCAUGACGUUAUCCCUUUCACCGUACUCAUCCCAUAUACGCAUCAUCGGUCAAACGAAGGCCACCACGUGGCGCAAAAUCCACGAGUGUCCCGUGCAGGGGCCAAUAUUAUCGACCGCCAUUUGAGGCCGACAAAGCCGCUAUAUCUUCAAGCAUAAGUCAGCCGACUAUUGCAUCCACCACCGCGUCUCUUAUACCAAAAUUACCAAAAAAAAAAAAAUUAAACUUAUCACACCCAUACCAAUUCAAUUUUAAAUAUUUUAACUUGAUCAAUUUUACCAACAUAAUCCAUUCAACCAUUUACUAGAAAUAGUUUAUGCGGAUAUCGGUUGUAUUCUGUGAUAUAAUUAGCACUGAUAUGAAUAAAUUUUAUAAAUCAUUAUUAUUUUUGUUUCUAAAUUUUGCUUUAUGUAUAUUUUAUUUUAUUACUCUAUUUUUAUUCUCUCUAUCAAUUGCCGGACCUCGGCAAUGUUCGGUGACAAACCAAGGCAAUGAUCUGCGAGGACCCUCGUCGAAGGCCAACAAGGGUCGACCAAGGCCAAGCUUACUUCGAGGGAUACUUGCUUUUGCCAAUUUGGCAAGGGGCAUAUGAGGUUAUGACCUUGCCAAUCAUCUCUAGUGGCUGGUCCCUAUCUCCAAGGCUCGAUGAUUGGUGGAGGAAGACGAAAAGAAAAGAAAAGAAAAGAAGAGAAAAAUAUAUUUAGAAAUUUAGAAAAAAAUAACAAAAAUUGCAUAAAGUGUCACAUCAGUGACAUGAUUCAAUUGAUGAAUUUAAAGAUUUUAGAAUUAAAUUAGUAUACAUAUAAUAAAUUUAAAUUUUUUUUAGUAAUUACUCUCACCACAGUUUCACGUUCCUCUGCACAAAUUUGCGACUUAGUCUUGUUGCCCCACCGACCAUCCCUUAAUUGCAUCACAAACCGACCCACUUCUAUUAAUUAUAUUGGAUGCGCGUAAAUCAAGAAAUGUCCAUGGCCAUAAUAAUAAUUAGAGAAUAACGUUUCGUUUUUUUCAAUAAAUUUUUUGAAAAAGCCCUACCGCCCUUCUCCGAGGCUAAAGAGGAAGAUCAGUGAAAGGUCAGUUUCGUCCAUUCAACUGUAGCUAAGAUGGUUUUUUUUUUUUUUUUUUUGGUCAAAGGUAAGCUGGAUUGCAUUGCCCACUCUCUGUUUGAAUUUCAGCUGACAGCUCGCAAAAAAGGAGCUAUUAUAUUUAGCCUGAAUUCCAACAUAGAGUCCCAUCGCAAAGACAGGUUCCGCUCCUUUUGCGCCCAUGUCCACUUCCAUUAAUCAAUUUUUUCUGAUCAAUUUAAACACGAGAGAUGUUAAGAGAUAGAAAUAUGUCAUACCAUUUGAUAGUGAAAUUGAUAUGUUUUUUAUAUAUAUGUGUGUUAUCCUUUUGCCUAUCAAUUUAAGUUUUUAAUUAAGGCUUUUUAAUAAUUUGAUUUUAGAAAAAAUUUAAGAAAAUUCGAUGUAAAUUAUUUUGUUCAAAACAUCAAUUGCAAAAGGUACAUUAAGCAUUAUCAUGUUUUUGUGAUUGGUUUCCUAAAAAGCUGUCUUGAGAGCGUAAAUGAUGACUUUACGCGUAGUCGGGCACCAGUGGUCUUUUGUCAAUCUUGCUGGUGAAGUUGCAACUGGGACUUUCAAGACCAUCAUGAGCUGCCCUCCGUUUGUCUCUUUCCAGGCAGGUUCCGGCGCUUUAAUCCCCUACUACGUUCCCCACUUCAUAUUAAUUAUUAUAUUAUAAUAUAUAGUCGUACAAUAAAAUAAUCAAAGCAUCAUGCCAUCACCCUCGUCCCACCCUUGUAUAAAUACUCCUCCUCCCUUCGACACAGCCCACAUCUUAAACAAAGCUACCUCUGCUUUGACCUUUCCUCUUUCCUCAGUCUCAGCCCAAAACUCAGCUACAAUGGCAUCCUUCUUCGCUUCUAACACAGCUCUUCCAAAGCUGUUCCUCGCUUCUAACACAGCUCUUCCAAAGCUGUUCCUCGCCCUCUGCCUCCUCCAGAUGGCCUCCGCCACCAGGAGGCUGGCCGAGCUGGUCCAAGACCAGUCCCCGCCCAUGAAGUACCACAGUGGCCCUCUCCUCUCCGGCAAGAUCUCCGUCAACCUCAUCUGGUACGGCCGCUUCAAGCCUUCCCAGCGCACCAUCGUCUCCGACUUCGUCACCUCCCUCUCUUCCGACCCCUCUUUGGCUCAGGCCCCUCCUUCCGUCUCCCAGUGGUGGAAGACGGUCGACAAGUACUACUACCUCUCCUCCUCCAAGAGGCACGCUCCCUCUCUCACGCUUUCCCUCGGGAGGCAAGUCCUCGACGAGAGCUACUCGCUAGGGAAGUCCCUCACGAGCAAGCACCUCGUCGAGCUCGCGUCCCGGGGCGAACAGCGGAACGCCAUCAACGUCGUUCUCACCUCCUCCGACGUGGCCGUCGAGGAAUUCUGCAUGAGCCGGUGUGGCUCCCACGACUCCGCCGUCGGUUCCGUCAAGGUCAACGGCAGGAGCUCGAGGUUCGCGUACAUCUGGGUGGGCAACUCGGAGACGCAGUGCCCGGGGCAGUGCGCGUGGCCGUUCCACCAGCCCCAGUACGGCCCGCAGAGCCCGCCGCUGGUGGCGGCCAACGGGGACGUUGGCGUCGACGGGAUGGUAAUCAACCUCGCGGGCCUCCUCGCCGGGACCGCCACGAACCCGUUCUCGAACGGGUACUACCAGGGCGAGGCGGGGGCGUCGCUGGAGGCGGCAUCGGCGUGCACGGGGAUCUACGGCAACGGGGCGUACCCGGGCUACGCUGGGAACUUGCUGGUGGAUGAGGCGACGAGGGCGAGCUACAACGCGCACGGCGUGAACGGGAGAAAGUACCUGGUCCCGGCUCUCUACGAUCCAGCCACGUCGUCGUGUUCGACUCUGGUGUGAGGGAAUUGGCGACGGAUAGAAACGAUGACGUUUAGGCUACCAGAUUAAUUCAUUCAUUCUUUUAUUGGUUUUGUAGUUGCUCCAUAGUAUUGUCAUUAUAGUUAAUGAAAAAGGCAAACCACUUUUAUUUGCUACAAUUAUGUGAGCCAUUGCAAAGCAACCGGACUAAAUCCACGCUUAAUCUGAGGAGUUCAGCUCUUCAAUCACACAUUUCAAUAAACCGACCGGGCUAAUUACACCAUUUGUGGAAGAAAAGACCAUUACGUAGUGUGAAUGUAUGCUCUAAUUACCGAUUUAGUUUUUGGGGGAACAGAUGGAGGGGCUUAGGUCGAGGGAGCGUGAGAAGUCCAUUAUUAAUUCUGGCGUAAGUCAUUGGUUAUGGCAAAAGGCACAUGGGAUUAGAACUCUCACUUUUCUAAGUGGAAAUGCUGCAUAUAACACGAACCUUACUUAACUUAACAGUAAUCCAAAAUGAUCAUAACUUUAUGUUUUAUUCAAAUUAUUGCUAUUAGGUGCUCAUCGUCGUGGAAAUAGUUAAAGUUGUUAUAUAUGGUUUCUAAACGACAAGGUGCGAUCCUCCUCACAAACCCCUAGGGAGACAAAGAUCUGAAUUGAGUCAUUUGUUACAAAUGUGGCUUGACCACCGCAGACUUUCUUAUUUGCAUGUAAAUUAGUCAUAUACUUAACUACACUUGAGGGAGGAGCUUCUAUCAUACCAUGAGUUAAGCAGCGAAACUCACAAAUCUAGCUAGUCUGAGGGCGGCGAGUCUAAUGGUGGUGUUGACCUCUCAAAAUGACAUGUGAAAGGUCGAGAAUUGGAGGGCAAAAUGCUAGCCACCAAUGCGGCCAGCUUGCAAAAUAGUAAGUGAGCAACACAGCCUAUACAACUAGUGUUGUAGCAUCAAGUGGCUUAUACGAUUGAUUUGGGAAAUUAGUUAUUGAGCAAUGUGCCCUCUACAACUAGCAUUAAAUAAAAAGUCACGUCUAUGAUAAAGACUCAACUAGGCAAUGUGACCAGCAUAGUUGGUGUCCAAACAUGAUCAUUGUGGAAUGGAUUGGAUUAAGUGCUUCCUAAAAUUGGAUUUGUGCGCACGAAAUGAACACUAUUGAUUUUUGAGUGGUAGGGAUGGAUGAUUUAUUUAAGUGUGCAUUAGGGUGCUCGAGGAGCAUGGGUGCAUCUGUGCAAAGUAGGGGUGUCAAUGGUUCGGUUCGGUUCGAUUUUUUUGAAAAACCGAACCGUUAGAAAAAUCUUCCGAACCGAACCGAAUACGAACCGAACCUUUUGGUUCGAUUUUUCAGUUUUUGGUUUUUAACCUUUGGUUUUCGAUUUUUGUUUUUUUUUUCCUGUUAAACUCAUAUUUCUCUACUUUUAUUUGUUGGUUCGGUUUAGUUCGGUUAACCGAUAAAAACCGAACCGAACCGAAAAAUUUUGGUUUUAAUGAAAACCGAACCGAAUGAAAACCAAACCGAAAAAAACCGAAUUUUUCGAUUCGGUUUUCGGUUCAGUUACUGACACCCCUAGUGCAAAGUGUACCUAAUGUGGUAGGGUUGCCUUAACAAAGUGGUUUUGAUACCAAGUUAAAAACAAUAAUAAUAAUAAAAAAACUCCAAAUUAGUACAUCCGUAACAAAUUUACUUUAAACUACUUAUUUGACACUAAAAUUCCAAAUUGGUACACAUGUAACAAAUUUAUCCUCCAUUAAAUUUCGUUAAAUUUAACCAUCAAAAUACUAAGUUAAAUGAUAUGCAAUAAUUAAUGGGUGUACCUACUUGAUGUCUUACUAUUAAUUUGUCACAGAUAUAUUAGUUUGUGGUUUUUCAUGGUAUUACUAUAAUUCAAUGGAAACUAAAGGAGAGUGCAUUUGUCACAAAUGUACCGAUUUGGAGUUUUUUAUGGUAAAAAAAUUAAUUUGGAAUAAAUUUGUCAUGAAUGUGUAAUUUUGGGGUUUUUAAUGGUAAAAAAAUUAGUUUAGAAUAAAUUUAUUUUAGGCGUAAUAAUUUGGACUUUUUCAUGGUAUUAACCUAAAAUAAUAAUGCAAAAGAGAAAUUUGAGGAACUUCUAUAUAUAGUUUGAUUUAUAGGAAAUAGUACCUAGAGAGUUUAUUUAUAGGCUUUAAUAGAUGACUAUAUAAGAAAAAUAGAUUAGACAUGCAUAAUCAACAUAGAUUAAAAAAAAAAUAGAGGAAAUAUCCUAAAUAUAACUAAAAGAUAUAUACAUAUCUCUAACAUCAUCGUGGAUCUACCGUAGCAACAACUAUUAACAAUGUCUAUAAUUCUCAGGAAAAUUCAUGUCAAUUAAUGAUAGACAUCGAAACUUGGACAUGAGAUAAAUGGCACGGCAUGCUCAAAAGAGCUCAUUUGCUAACCAAUUAAAAAUGAGGACUCGCACUUCAGCUAACACGCCCAUUCUUGACAACUGGCUCCACCUCCACCGCCACCGCCACCGCCAACGCCAACUAGCAUGUCUUCUUCUUGCGACCCAAAUGGAAGGGCACUGAGUGGUUUUGUCCUUGUUCUCUCAGUCAAAACAAGAGUCUCGUUUUUCUCGGCUGUCCAAUGCCCUGUAAUGAGAGAAAUGCCCAACUGCUGGACCGAGAAAUUUGACUUUUUGCCAACGAAAGCAAUUCAUUAACAAGCAAAUGUGUCAAAUCAAGCUGGCCUCUCUUGCCUUUACUUCAACAUUCCCUCCUCACCACCAUCCUCUCACCUUCGCCCUCUCCUUCGUCGUCAUCACUCAAAUUCAACUUCAUUUCUUUCGCUAAGCCACGUCCUAGGGGCUCCAAUCCACCUUCUGUUUCUCUGUCCCACCCAUCAGAUUAAUCAGACCCAUGCAUUCCACAAUAAUCUUCUUAAUGGGGGGUUUUUGUAUAUGCAUUUUUUCUUGUAUAGAAAUGUUCACUUUGUGGCCCUUCUUCAAUCUAUUGCCUUGAAUUGUUUGAAUAAAGAGCUGAAGCAUAAAAACUGAAAUAGGAUGAGGUGUCGUAUGUUAUUGUUGGUGCAAGAGUUUAGGUGAUUUUAGGACAAACCCAAUAAAAAAUGAGGACUCGCACUUUAGCUAACAGGCCCAUUCUUGACAAUUGGCUCCACCACCACCACCACCACCGCCAACUAGCAUGUCUUCUUCUUGCGACCCAAAUGGAAGGGCACUGAGUGGUUUUGUCCUUGUUCUCUCAGUCAAAACAAGAGUCUUGUUUUUCUCGGCUGUCCAAUGCCCUGUAAUAAGAGAAAUGCCCAACUGCUGGACCGAGAGAUUUGACUUUUUGCCAACGCAAGCAAUUCAUUAACAAGCAAAUGUGUCAAAUCAAGCUGGCCUCUCUUGCCUUUACUUUACCAUUCCCUCCUCACUACCAUCCUCUAACCUUCCCUCUCUCCUUCGUCGUCAUCACUCAAAUCAAACUUCAUUUCUUUCGCUCAGCCACGUCCUAGGGUCUCCAAUCGACCUUCUCUUUCUCAAUCCCACCCAUUAGAUUAAUCAGACCCAUGCAUUUUAUCUCGGGUAAUCUUCUUAAUCGGGUUUUUUGUAUAUGCAUUUUUUCAUGUAUAGAAAUGUUCAUUUUGUGGCCCUUCUGCGAUCUAUUGCCUUGAAUUGUUUGAAUAGAGAGCUGAAGCAUAAAACGGAAAUCGGAUGAAAAUUUGGUCGGAUCUUGGUUUGAGAAAAUGAUAUUAGUUGACCUUGGGGAGGGAUCCUAUUUAGAUUUAUACCAUUGAAUGUAACAAAAUCUCAAUUGGACCUCGUUAAAUAUUCUAGCUCAAAGUCUUAAAGUUUCUUUGUGUAAUUAGAACCAAUUUGAACACAAUUACUUCUAAAAGUUUCAUUGAGUUCAACUAUCUAAGAUUGCAAAUAAAAAAGGAAAAAAUAAAACUAUGCUCUCUCUAACCAUCUGCCCAAUCCUACCAACGUCAUGCUUUAGCCAACACUCAAUAUCCUCUGCGUCCAACCAUCACUAUUUAGGAAACUUCUCGGGUGCACCGAAAUCCUAUUAGCCCACUCAAUCUCAUUCUUUGAUAGUUGCGGUUCCCAUGCAAGUUACGCCUAAAAUCAAGUGGCCUCAUGUCGAUUGCGGCACAUUUUGGGUGUGCAUUACAAAAUUUAUGAAACAAAAAUUGAUUUCUGGCUAGAAAUUGAGAAAUUAAAAAUUUUAACUUCUGAUUUUUUAUUCAAAUUUAUUUAUGGAAUAGAAAUCUGUUCCAAAAAUAAAAAAAAUCAAAUUGCGUUAUCAAAUGAAUUUCCGUUCCAAACUUAUUCUGAAGAACAGAGAAACAGAGAAAUAGAGAAGUAUAAAUUUUAUCAUUCGCGCUCUUUGAAUGGCUCCACAUCCUCUGACAAUUCUGGCCUCAUCCGACCAUUUCCACAGACAUGCUUGUGCUUUGAGACCAUUUCCACCCACCUAUGCGCCUCUUGUAACCUUAGUUUUUUUUUUUUUUUUGCUGUCUGUGCUCAGUUAUGAAUAAUAUGGGUGAUGUGUCAUAUGUUGGAGCAAGAGAUUUUAGGACAAACCCAAACUUUCGGUCAUACUACACAUUUCCCACGCAUUACAUUAUCCCUUUCCCUUUACUCAUCCCAUAUCCCAUAUAUAUAUAUAUAUAUAUCAUCGGUCAACCAAGGCCGCUAUUUACAAAAAGAAAAAAAAAAUACCAAGACUGCCACGUAGCGCAACACCCGCGAUUGUGGCCCAGCAUGGGCCAAUACUAUCGGCCACCUCUUAAAAAGUCGUCCUAGGAGCGUAAAUGAAAUGAUGAUUGAACGCGUAGUCCAGCACCAGUUGUCAUUUGUUUAUCUUCCUGGUAAAGAUGCAACUGGGAAUGUCAAGACCAUCAUGGGCUGCCCUCCUUUCGUCUCUUUCCAGGCAGGUUCCAGCACUCUAACCCCACUUCUACGAGAAAAUAUUAUAAUAUAUAGUCGCAAAAUAAAAUAAUCGAAGGCUCACCCUCAUCCCAUCCUUGUAUAAAUACUACUCCUCCCUUCAACACAAUCCAUAACUUAAACAAAGCGAGAAGCUACCUCAGCUUUCGCCUUUCCUCUUUCCUCAGUCUCACCCCAAAACUCAGCUACUACGAUGGCAUCGUUCUUCGCUUCUUCUAAAACAGCUCUUCCAAAGCUGUUCCUCGCCCUCUGCCUCCUCCAGAUGGCCUCCGCCACCAGGAGGCUGGCCGAGCUGGUCCAAGACCAGUCCCCGCCCAUGAAGUACCACAAUGGCCCUCUCCUCUCCGGCAAGAUCUCCGUCAACCUCAUCUGGUACGGCCGCUUCAAGCCUUCCCAGCGCACCAUCGUCUCCGACUUCGUCACCUCCCUCUCCUCCGACCCUUCUUUGGCUCAGGCCCCUCCUUCCGUCUCUCAGUGGUGGAAGACGGUCGACAAGUACUACCACCUCUCCUCCUCCAAGAGGCGCACGCCUUCUCUCACCCUCUCGCUCGGG